rnacentral:rRNA from 1 species
UACGUGAGGUGCAAGCGUUGUCCGGAAUUAUUGGGCGUAAAGGAGCUCGUAGGCGGUGUGUCGCGUCUGCUGUGAAAAUCCGGGGCUCAACCCCGGACUUGCAGUGGGUACGGGCAGACUAGAGUGUGGUAGGGGGAGACUGGAAUUCCUGGCGUAGCGGUGAAAUGCGCAGAUAUCAGGAGGAACACCGAUGGCGAAGGCAGGUCUCUGGGCCACUACUGACGCUGAGAAGCGAAAGCAUGGGGAGCGAACAGG